rnacentral:rRNA from 1 species
GACGAACGCUGGCGGCGUGCCUAAUACAUGCAAGUAGAACGCACAGUUUAUACCGUAGCUUGAUACACCAUAGACUGUGAGUUGCGAACGGGUGAGUAACGCGUAGGUAACCUGCCUGGUAGCGGGGGAUAACUAUUGGAAACGAUAGCUAAUACCGCAUAAUAUUGAUUAUUGCAUGAUAAUUAAUUGAAAGGUGCAAUUGCACCACUACCAGAUGGACCUGCGUUGUAUUAGCUAGUAGGUGAGGUAACGGCUCACCUAGGCGACGAUACAUAGCCGACCUGAGAGGGUGAUCGGCCACACUGGGACUGAGACACGGCCCAGACUCCUACGGGAGGCAGCAGUAGGGAAUCUUCGGCAAUGGACGAAAGUCUGACCGAGCAACGCCGCGUGAGUGAAGAAGGUUUUCGGAUCGUAAAGCUCUGUUGUACGAGAAGAACGGGUGUGAGAGUGGAAAGUUCACACUGUGACGGUAUCUUACCAGAAAGGGACGGCUAACUACGUG